AACGAACGCUGGCGGCAUGCCUAACACAUGCAAGUCGAACGAGACCUUCGGGCCUAGUGGCGCACGGGGGCGUACCGCGUGGGAACCUGCCCGUAGGUUCGGAAUACCUCACUGAAAGGGGUGUUAAUACCGGAUAAUGUCUUAGGACCAAAGAUUUAUCGCCUUUGGAUGGGCCCGCGUUGGAUUAGCUAGUUGGUAGGGUAAAAGCCUACCAAGGCGACGAUCCAUAGCUGGUCUGAGAGGAUGAUCAGCCACACUGGGACUGAGACACGGCCCAGACUCCUACGCGAGGCAGCAGUGGGGAAUAUUAGACAAUGGGCGAAAACCUGAUCCAGCAGUGCCGCGUAAGUGGUGAAGGCCUUGGGAUUGUAAAGCUGUUUUACCCGAGAUGAUAAUGACAGUACCGGGAGAAUAAGCACCGGCUAACUCCGUG
rnacentral:rRNA from 1 species